GUGGCAGCCGCCGCGGUAACACCAGCGCCGCAAGUGGGAACCACUGUUAUUGGGUCUAAAGCAUCCGUAGCCGGUUGCGUAAGUUUCUUGUGAAAUCGUCCUGCUCAACAGGACGGCGUGCAGGAAAGACUGCGUGACUUGAGACCGGGAGAGGGAGAAGGUAUUCCGGGGGGAGCGGUAAAAUGUUAUAAUCCUCGGAGGACCACCGAUGGCGAAGGCAUUCUUCCAGAACGGAUCUGACGGUGAGGGAUGAAAGCUAGGGGAGCGAUCCGGAUUAGAUACCCGAGUAGUCCUAGCUGUAAACGCUGCGUGCCAGAUGUUGCACAAUCUUCGGGAUUGUGCAGUGUCGUAACGAAGGUGUUAAGCACGCCACCUGGGAAGUACGGUCGCAAGGCUGAAACUUAAAGGAAUUGGCGGGGGAGCACUACAACGGGUGCGGCGUGCGGUUUAAUCGAAUUCAACGCCGAGAAUCUCACCAGGGCCGCCGGCAGGAUGAAGGACAAUCUAAAGGGUUUUCCGGACGAGCCGAGAGGUGGUGCAUGGCCGUCGUCAGCUCGUGCUGUGAAGUGUCCUGUUAAGUCAGGCAACGAGCGAGACCUGUGUCUAUAUUUGCCAGCGUGUCAGCAAUGAUGAGCGGGCACAAUAUGGAGACUGCCCUGGAAACAGGGAGGAAGGUGCAGGCUACGGUAGGUCUGUAUGCCCCGAAUGUUCUGGGCUACACGCGCGCAACAAUGGUCGCGACAAUUGGAUGCGACUCCGAAAGGAGAAGCCAACCCUUAAAACGCGAUCUCAGUUCAGAUUGAGGAUUGUAACUCAUCCUCAUGACGCCGGAAUCCGUAGUAAUCAGAGUUUAGCAUACUCCGGUGAAUAUGUCCCUGCUCCUUGCACACACCGCCCGUC
rnacentral:rRNA from 1 species